rnacentral:rRNA from 1 species
CUUUAAGAGACUGGCCGGUGUUAAAGCCGGGAGGAAGUGGGGAUGACGUACAAGUCCUCAUGGCCUUUAUGCCCAGGGCUACACACGUGCUACAAUGGGCGGUACAAAGAGAAGCAACCUCGCGAGGGUGAGCAAAUCUCAAAAAGCCGUUCUCAGUUCGGAUUGAAGUCUGCAACUCGACUUCAUGAAGUCGGAAUCGCUAGUAAUCGCGGAUCAGCAUGCCGCGGUGAAUACGUUCCCGGGCCUU